rnacentral:lncRNA from 1 species
GUGCGAUGAGGUUGCAACGUAUUGAACUAUGGUGUUUCCUUGUAACUUGCACAUUGUUAUAUUACUUGACAUUUUUGUCCUAAUGACAUACCUAGUAGAUGUUUGGAUGCACAAUUUCAGUUAGCAAUAGAAAGUAAAAAUCCAUAGUCUUGAAACUAGACUUGUUCAAGAUCAAAAUGCAUACUAUGAAAGUUACUGCUAUUGAUUUACCAUUU